GAGCGUACACAGGUGCUGCAUGGCUGUCGUCAGCUCGUGUCGUGAGAUGUUGGGUUAAGUCCCGCAACGAGACGCAACCCUGCAUUCAGUUGCCAUAGGUAAGGCCGGGCACUCUGGAUGGACUGCCGGCGACAAGCCGGAGGAAGUGGGGACGACGUCAAGUCAUCAUGGCCCUUAUGUCCAGGGCGACACACGUGCUACAAUGGCCGGCACAACGGGAAGCGAAGGGGCGACCCUGAGCGGAUCCCACAAAAGCCGGUCUCAGUUCGGAUUGCAGUCUGCAACUCGACUGCAUGAAGUUGGAAUCGCUAGUAAUCGUGGAUCAGCCAAGCCGCGGUGAAUACGUUCCCGGGCCUU
rnacentral:rRNA from 1 species